GAAGUGUUUCAUCCAGUCGCUGUCGGUUCGCCGAUGGAGGAAAGUCCGGGCUCCGCAGGGCAUGGUGCAGGAGAAACUCCUGUGGGUGCGAACCCAAGGAAAGCGCCACAGAAAAUAUACCGCCCGGGAAACCGGGCAAGGGUGAAA
rnacentral:RNase_P_RNA from 1 species